UACGAAGGGGGCUAGCGUUGCUCGGAAUCACUGGGCGUAAAGGGUGCGUAGGCGGGUCUUUAAGUCAGGGGUGAAAUCCUGGAGCUCAACUCCAGAACUGCCUUUGAUACUGAAGAUCUUGAGUUCGGGAGAGGUGAGUGGAACUGCGAGUGUAGAGGUGAAAUUCGUAGAUAUCGGGAGGAACACCAGUGGCGAAGGCGGCGACCUGGGCAGAUACUGACACUGAGGUGCGAAAGCGUGGGGAGCAAACAGG
rnacentral:rRNA from 1 species